GGAAAUGUGGCUCAAUUGGUCAGAGCAUCGGAUUACAAUCCCGAAGGUUAUAGGUUCGAGUCCUAUCGUUUCCU
rnacentral:tRNA from 1 species